UUGCUUAGUUGACUCAAUUUUUCAUCUCUUUCUAUUUAAUUAUAUGAGUAUCUUAUCUCGCUUCCAGAGACCUCACAUUUCCUCCAGUAUUUGUAAGUCAGUUUUUGGUAUAAUAAUUUGAAUAUGUAUAGAGAUCUCUCACCUGCUUCAGUAUGUUACGUUUUCUUUAUAAUUAUAAUGGAGGCAAUCGUGAAUUCAUUUCCAGUUAGGCCUAAUCUUUUAUAUUAGAUCUAUUCUUCUUGUGGGUUCAUUCCCUUGAGCUUCUGCUCUUUCAGUUCAUAUGCAGUGUCGCGUCUUCUGUCAAUCCAGAUGAUGGCAAAGCCAAGGAUGAGGAUCAUGAUUCACCUUCUUUGGAUGAUCAAAGGUUCCCUCUUGAAACGAUCACUUAAAGUGGCUAUAAUUGCAAUAAUCUGCAGCAGGAAAUAUAGAUUUGGCCUUAUCUUACAUCGG